GACCUCAAAUCAGGUAGGACUACCCGCUGAACUUAAGCAUAUCAAUAAGCGGAGGAAANGAAACUAACAAGGAUUCCCCUAGUAACUGCGAGUGAAGCGGGACGAGCUCAANUUUUGAAUCUGGCGGUCUUCUGGCCGUCCGAGUUGUAAUCUAGAGAAGCGUCUUCCGCGC
rnacentral:rRNA from 1 species